rnacentral:rRNA from 1 species
AACGAACGCUGGCGGCAUGCCUAACACAUGCAAGUCGAACGAAACCUCCCGGUUUUGUUGCGCACGGGUGCGUACCGCGUGGGAACUUGCCCUUAGGUUCCGAAUAAUUCCCUGAAAGGGGUGCUAAUACCGGUUGAUGUCUUCGGACCAAAGAUUUCUCGCCUUUGGGUGGGCCCGCGUUGGUUUAGCCAGUUGGUAGGGUAAUAGCCUAUCAAGGCCACGAUGCUGAGCUGGUCGGGGAGGAAGACAAGCCACACUGGGGAUGCGACACGGCCCAGACUCCGACGGGAGGGAGGGGAGGGGGAUAUUGGAGGAGGGGCGAAAGCCUGAUCCAGCAAUGCCGGGGGAGUGAUGGAGGCGUUAGGGUAGUAAAGCUCUUUUAGCCGGGAUGAUAAUGACAGUACCGGGAGAAGAAGCUCCGGCUAACUCCGUG